rnacentral:rRNA from 1 species
CCUGGGGACUCAGGCUAAUACCGCAUACGUCCUACGGGAGAAAGCAGGGGAUCUUCGGACCUUGCGCUAUCGGAUGAGCCCAUGUCGGAUUAGCUUGUUGGUGAGGUAAUGGCUCACCAAGGCUACGAUCCGUAACUGGUCUGAGAGGAUGAUCAGUCACACUGGAACUGAGACACGGUCCAGACUCCUACGGGAGGCAGCAGUGGGGAAUAUUGGACAAUGGGCGAAAGCCUGAUCCAGCCAUGCCGCGUGUGUGAAGAAGGUCUUCGGAUUGUAAAGCACUUUAAGUUGGGAGGAAGGGCAUUAACCUAAUACGUUAGUGUUUUGACGUUACCGACAGAAUAAGCACCGGCUAACUCUGUGCCAGCAGCCGCGGUAAUACAGAGGGUGCAAGCGUUAAUCGGAAUUACUGGGCGUAAAGCGCGCGUAGGUGGUUUGUUAAGUUGAAUGUGAAAUCCCCGGGCUUAACCUGGGAACUGCAUCUGAAACUGUAGAGCUAGAGUAUGUGAGAGGAAGGUAGAAUUCCAGGUGUAGCGGUGAAAUGCGUAGAGAUCUGGAGGAAUACCGAUGGNCGAAGGCAGCCUUCUGGCAUAAUACUGACACUGAGGUUCGAAAGCGUGGGUAGCAAACAGUGAUUAGAUACCCUGGUAGUCCACGCCGUAAACGAUGUCAACUAGCCGUUGGGUCCCUUGAGGACUUAGUGGCGCAGCUAACGCAAUAAGUUGACCGCCUGGGGAGUACGGCCGCAANGGUUAAAACNUCNAAAUGAAUUGACGGGGGCCCGCACAAGCNGGUGGAGCAUGNUGGUUUAAUUCGAUGCAACGCNGAAGAACCUUNACCUACCCUNUGACAUCCAGAGGACUUUCCAGAGAUNNGGNAUUNGGUGCCNUUCGGGAACUNCUGAGACAGGUGCUGCNANUGGCUNGUCGUCAGCUCNGUGUUGUGAAAUGUUGGGUUAAGUCCCGUAACGAGCGCAACCCCNUAUNCNCNUNUAUUUGCCANGCGAGNUANAUGUCGGGAACUCUAAGGAGACUGCCGGUGACAAACCGGAGGAAGGUGGGGACGACGUCAAGUCAUCAUGGCCCUUACGGGUAGGGCUACACACGUGCUACAAUGGCAAGUACAAAGGGUUGCAAUACUGCGAAGUGGAGCCAAUCCCAUAAAGCUUGCCUCAGUCCGGAUUGGAGUCUGCAACUCGACUCCAUGAAGUCGGAAUCGCUAGUAAUCGUGGAUCAGAAUGCCACGGUGAGUACGUUCCCGGGCCUUGUACACACCGCCCGUCACACCAUGGGAGUGGACUGCACCAGAAGUGGUUAGCCUAACCUUCGGGAGGGCGAUCACCACGGUGUGGUUCAUG